GGAAAACUUACCAGGUCCAGACAUAGUGAGGAUUGACAGAUUGAUAGCUCUUUCUUGAUUUUAUGGGUGGUGGUGCAUGGCCGUUCUUAGUUCGUGGAGUGAUUUGUCUGCUUAAUUGCGUUAACGAACGAGACCUUAACCUGCUAAAUAGGAUCACCUAUCUCCGGAUAAGUGACUUUCUUCUUAGAGGGACUUUAUGCGUUUCAGCAUGAGGAAGUUUGAGGCUAAAA
rnacentral:rRNA from 1 species